rnacentral:lncRNA from 1 species
CACUCUGACAUCAGGUGUAUCCCUCUCCUUUCAACCACCACACAGCCGGGAUUGAGAUGAACAGGAAAGGAGAGUUCCUGGUCGACCCUCUCUCCUCCACCAUCCAGGCUUGCUGCUAUGCACAGUGAGCGUAUUUUUAAGUGAAGGGUUCCCUCCUCGGACAUCGCUAUUUCUCACCAACUAUUCCUUCUGUCUACACAAUGUAGAAGGACUUCAGGGCUAAAGUCUAUGUUCUCCUUGGUGAAACAUUAGUUUUAAACUUUUGUUUUAUUUCAUUGAGGCAUACUUUCACUGUGUAGCUUUGGCUGGCCUGGAACUCACUUUGUAAACAGACUGGCUUUGAACUCACAACUCCCUCUGCCUCCCACUCCCUCUGCCUCACAAGUGCUGGGAUUAAGAGCGUGUAACACCACUCCUGGGUCCUUUGUCUUAAAAAAGCAACAAGCAUUUAAUUAAUUAAUUUUGUGUGUAGAUGUGCUUGUGUGCAUGUACACGGUGUGCAUGCCCUGUGGUAUGUGUGUGAAAGUCAGAACAAUUUUUCGGGAGUUUGUUCUUUUCGUCUUGUUGAAGCAGGCUUUCUUUCUUUCUUUCUCUCUCUCUUUCUUUCUUUUUCUUUUUUUUUUUCCCUGAUG